AGAGUUUGAUCAUGGCUCAGGAUGAACGCUGGCGGCGUGCCUUAUGCAUGCAAGUCGAACGGUUUUUGCUUUUUGCAAAAACAGUGGCGGACGGGUGAGUACAAGCAAGGAACGUACCCUAAACUUAGGUAUAGCUCAUCGAAAGGUGGGGUAAUCCCUAAUGUGACCUACGGGUUAAAGGGCAUAACUUCCCGGUUUAGGAGCGGCCUUGUGCUUAUCAGCUUGUUGGUGGGGUAAUGGCCUACCAAGGCGAUGACGAGUAGGGGGUGUGAGAGCAUGUCCCCCCACAAUGGCACUGAGACACGGGCCAUACAUCUACGGAUGGCAGCAACAGGGAAUAGUUGGCAAUGGGCGAAAGCCUGACCACGCGACGCCGCGUGAAGGAUGAAGCCUCUCGGGGUGUAAACUUCUUUUGCCAAGUCAUCGAGGCUUGGCGAAUAAGCGCCUACAAACUACGUGCCAGCAGUCGCGGUAAUACGUAGGGCGCAAGCGUUAUCCGGAUUUAUUGGGCGUAAAGGGUAGCGUAGGCUGUGUAUUGCAUCGUACUUGAAAGCUCGGGGCUUAACCCCGGUGUUGAGUGCGAGAUGGGUACACUAGAGGAGAAGAGAGGGAAGGGGAACUGAUGGUGGAGCGGUGAAAUGCGUUGAGAUCAUCAGGAACACCAAAGGCGAAGGCACCUUCCUGGAUUCUUUCUGACGCUGAGGCACGAAAGCUAGGGUAGCGAAGCAGAUUAGAGACCUGCGUAGUCCUAGCCCUAAACGCAUGUCUGCUAGUUGUCCGCAUCUAAUGUGGUUGACGUAAGCUAACGCGUUAAGCAGACCGCCUGGGGAGUACGACCGCAAGGUUAAAACUCAAAGGAAUUGACGGGGACCCGCACAACCAGUGGAGCGUGUGGUUUAAUUCGAGACAAAGCGAAAAACCUUACCAGGUCUUGACAUUCUACUGCGAAUCCGCAGAAACGCGGACGUCCUUCGAGGGAGUAGAACAGCAGCUGCAUGGCUGUCGUCAGCUCGUGCCGUGAGGUGUUCCCUUAAGUGGGCUAACGAGCGCAACCCAUAUCCAAUGUUAUAAGUGUCAUUGGAGACUGCCCACGUCAAACGUGGGAGGAAGGAGUGGAUGACGUCAAGUCAGCACGGCGCUUAUGACCUGGGAUACACACACCCUACAAUGGCGAAAAACAAUGAGUAGCCAAGCCGUAAGGCUGAGCAAAUCUCUAGUAAAUUUCGUCUCAGUUCGAAUUGAGGUCUGCAACUCGACCUCAUGAAGCCGGAAUUGGUAGUAAUCGCAGAUCAGCAGGCUGCGGUGAAUACGUUCUCGGGUCUUGUACACACCGCCCGUCAAGCCAACAAAGUUGAGGGUGGCCGAAGAGCCGCGUCUUAAUUGCGCGGAGCUAAGCCAAAUUCAGCGAUGGGGACUAAGUCGUAACAAGGUA
rnacentral:rRNA from 1 species